AUAUCAGUCAUGCAUAGCAUAUCAAUAAGCGGAGGAAAAGAAACUAACAAGGAUUCCCUUAGUAACGGCGAGUGAAGCGGGAAGAGCUCAAAUUUGAAAUCUUCAAGGUUUUACCUUGACGAAUUGUAGUUUAAAGAAGUGUUUUCUGUUGAAGUUUUGGUAAAAGUUCUUUGGAAUAGGACAUCAUAGAGGGUGAGAAUCCCGUAUUUGACCAUUACUUUCAGCUUUGUGAUACACUUUCGAAGAGUCGGAUUGUUUGGGAAUGCAGUCCAAAAUGGGUGGUAAAUUUCAUCUAAAGCUAAAUAUUGGCGAGAGACCGAUAGCGAACAAGUACCGUGAGGGAAAGAUGAAAAGAACUUUGAAAAGAGAGUUAAACAGUACGUGAAAUUGUCAAAAGGGAAGCGUUUGACACCAGUGUUGUUUUCUCGAAAAUCAAUUAAAAAGAGUUGGAUUUUGUGUUGUAUUGACUUUAUCGGCUUUCUUCACUCUUUUCCAGCUUUUUUUAAUGCACUUUUCGUUUAACAAGUCAACAUCAGUUUCUUUUGUUGUAAAAAGGUCAUUGGAAGGUGGCUUUCUCUUCGGAGAAAGUGUUUAUAGCCUUUGACUCAUGCAAUCGGAGAGACUGAGGUCUGCAGCGUAGAUCCUUCGGGGUUAGAUACAUUUGUGCUAAGUUAUAGCUUUUCAUAGACAACUUGUUGACUAUGUUUAGUCUUGUAGCUUACUCGCUUAUGCUAUUUUACCUACGCUUAGGAUGUUGAACUCUAUCACACACA
rnacentral:rRNA from 1 species